rnacentral:lncRNA from 1 species
UGUGAAGAAAGUUGUACAUGAUUAUGAAUACUAUAAUCAUCCUAAUUGCGUUCAGAGUUAUUUGAGUGGGGUGGACCCUAUAAAAAUCAAAGACAUUAUCGAAAAAGGGGUGCAGUAGAAAUCGCAGGCCAGAUCGAAGAGACUCAUCGUAGAAAGCUAUGUAGUCCUCGGGAGGUUUAGAUUCUCGACCUUCUGGAUCUGGUACUAUCAUCUCAUACUCGUCGGGUAUAUCAUAUUUAUCCCUAAAGGUUAUAA